CUGGACAAAGACUGACGCUCAGGUGCGAAAGCGUGGGGAGCAAACAGGAUUAGAUACCCUGGUAGUCCACGCCGUAAACGAUGUCGAUUUGGAGGUUGUGCCCUUGAGGCGUGGCUUCCGGAGCUAACGCGUUAAAUCGACCGCCUGGGGAGUACGGCCGCAAGGUUAAAACUCAAAUGAAUUGACGGGGGCCCGCACAAGCGGUGGAGCAUGUGGUUUAAUUCGAUGCAACGCGAAGAACCUUACCUGGUCUUGACAUCCACAGAACUUUCCAGAGAUGGAUUGGUGCCUUCGGGAACUGUGAGACAGGUGCUGCAUGGCUGUCGUCAGCUCGUGUUGUGAAAUGUUGGGUUAAGUCCCGCAACGAGCGCAACCCUUAUCCUUUGUUGCCAGCGGUU
rnacentral:rRNA from 1 species